AGCUUUCGUCUUCCGGUGCUAUUGCCAUAAUGCAUCCUUGCAGCUGCUCCUAAAUCGUUGCCGCCACGAACCUAUUUACACCUUGCUCUCGGAAUCGAGGUAGCAUACAGACUUCAUUGCUUUGUACAACAAAACGCAAAGUAAAAUGAUAUACGUCAUUGUGCAACGUUUACCGUUUCACGCGCUUCAUAAGCACGGCGGUAAUCAUCGGUACUCAACCACACAACUUACCCUUACACUCUCUAUAUUUGCACGUAACAGAUGAAACGAAGCACGAAAAGCGUAUCGCUGACGACGCAGAAGCCCACCGGUGACGUAAGACAUGCGCCGACAGUCAAAAUUCGCGAGUCAUGUAAUGCGCAUGCGCUGCAGUAUGGCACCUGAGAAAAAUCUAUUUAAAUUCACGCGCUCGCGAAUAUAGUCCCGCGCUGUCGGAUUAAUACCGUCAGUAACAGUGCAUCGACAAUGGAAUCGAUGCUGCGCUGGCUGCACGUCUCACCGGCGCCAAAGGGCAGCAAUGCAGCUGCCCUCACCGAUUCCGUCGACGAGAAUGUCAUCGAGGUGCUGAGCGCCCCCGUACCAGCAGAAGUGCGACCCGAACGAGCGCUUCACACUUUCCGAGGAGUGGGACAGUGGUUCACCGCACCGGAGUCAUGUUGUUUCGGCAACACGUUUCAAGAAAAAGCAAGCCUGGCAGCGACUCCGGGACGUACUUUUUCAUCAGAAAAGCAAGGAUCCUUCGAAAGACGACAGCAGUGGCGAGUUCGCCUCCUUCCUCGCGGGUGUCACCUACACCUCCAGCCCUUGUUCGGUGUCAUGAAGAGGGAUCACAGGCUCCACUCAAGGGGCCUGAGAAGAAACGCCCCACGGGAUUCCUCCGACGAUCUCUGCGCAGGGUGGCCACGGCUACGCGGAAACGCGAUUCGCAUGACAUUGUAAAGACUGAUGUUUAGGGCAUGCUGUAAAUGUUUUGUUUCUGUUUAUUUUAGUUUUUACGAAUUUUAGUUUUUACGAAUUGUAGUUUUUACGAAUUUUAGUUUUUACGAAUUGUAGUUUUUACGAAUUGUAGUUUUUACGAAUUGUAGUUUUUACGAAUUGUAGUUUUUACGAAUUGUAGUUUUCACGAAAUGCUCUGCGUGAAUAAAUGAUUAAUUCCCCCGCUA